GGUGGCGACCGGCGCGACGGGUGAGUAACGCGUAUGCAACCUACCUAUCAGAGGGGAAUAACCCGGCGAAAGUCGGACUAAUACCGCAUAAAACAGGGGCACCGCAUGGUGAUAUUUGUUAAAGAAAUUCGCUGAUAGAUGGGCAUGCGUUCCAUUAGGUAGUUGGUGAGGUAACGGCUCACCAAGCCGACGAUGGAUAGGGGAACUGAGAGGUUGGUCCCCCACACUGGUACUGAGACACGGACCAGACUCCUACGGGAGGCAGCAGUGAGGAAUAUUGGUCAAUGGACGAGAGUCUGAACCAGCCAAGUCGCGUGCAGGAAAGAAUGUCCUUAAUGGAUUGUAAACUGUCUUUUUGCGAGGGGAAAUAAAGUGCAUCACGUGUGAUGUUUUGUAUGUACUCUGCGAAUAAGGAUCGGCUAACUCCGUGCCAGCCGCAGC
rnacentral:rRNA from 1 species